ACACAUCGUCUAAAACAGAGCCUCCAUCGCCGCCAUCCACGGCACAGCCCACUCCAAAAGGACCCAUGGCCGACGCUAGGCCACCACUCGCCGAUGGCCACCCCUCGCAUUCCUUCUUUGUUCUCGCACGAUAGGCUUCAAACGAUGAAGCCCUCCCAUUUAAGAGAAUGAAUGGAGUCAACAAGACUACUUGCAUUCGAAUAACCCAGGUUGGCAUCUGUGUAGCAACUGUAAGAAGAAUGCCCAUUAUAUGUGUUACACAUAUAUCUUUUCCUUGUGCAAGGGAUGCAUCAAAGAUGCUGUAAUCCAAUGUGUUAGGGGUAACAAAGGUUUCUGCGAGUCAUGCAUGAAUCUUAUCAUGUUGAUUGAAAGGAAGGAUCAAGAAAACGAAGAAAUGGUAUUAUUAUACUGUUAUUG